CAGAAGAUGCACCUGGUGUUGUCACAUCGCCAUGGAUUUUCAGAGCACGAAUCAACUCUGCAAGGGUAAUUACAGAGAGCUUGGGUAUUUAUCACCGCAUGGAUUUGACGGACUUGUUCUUUUUUGGGGUUUAUGGACUGAAAAGAAUACCAGUCCAGAGCUCACCCCCCAACAUGAAUCAUAUUACAGGUCUACCGAUUGGCUAAUGAAGUGCUAUUUGUUCAUUUGAGGGGUGGUGGUGGGGUCUCCUGUUUAUUAGAAAUGCUGGUGUGACUCAAUACACUCACUGUCAUAUUUCUGCCCUGUGUGUGUGUGUGUGUGUGUGUGUUUGUGUGUGAGUGUGUGUGUGGAUUUUGAGAUAAAUUCAGCCUUUCAGACCUCGUUCAGCUGAGCCGGCCCGUCCGGGCCCGAUUAGAAUCUGCGUCUGAAGCCAUCAGGCCCAAGGCCACUGUGGAGAUUCCUUUGAUGACUCAUCAGUCACUGUCACAGGGUCAAAUGUCCAAUCAGCGAGGACCUUGCUCGUGUCAUGUCACGUCCAAUCAGAAUGAUGACUCGGGCUCCCGGUCGUGGGGACUGUUCCAGGCCACAUUCCCACUCGCUCAGCCCCACAGACCACAUCAAUACACCACAACUAGAUGAUUUGCGUGCAACGUUUAUUAUCUGUAAGCUGAAAUCCAGGCUGGCUGUAUCUCGAUUGCUCUGAUAGGACGGAGCCUGUUUCUCAUCAGCUGCUGCAGGGAGAUCGAUACCUGCACGGCGAGCUCCUGGUGUUCACCUGUCAAUAGUUCAGCUUUUCGGGCGAAGCAGCCGUUUCUCUGGAGGAGAAAAAGACAAGAGCAGUGGCGCACACUGAGGACGUCCCACCCUGACCUCUCUCCAGCGACCCUCUCCGCUCCCUCCGUCCCCUCCACCGUGUCGGGCGCUCUGCUCCUUUUGAAGUCCAACAUCAGAGACCAUGAAAGGUCUCCCACAACAAGCCGUGCGCGGGCAGGCGGCCUUGUGUUUAUUCAUAGCCGCUCGCUUAUACGAACUCCCCCUUCCUGGUCCGUUCACGCCGCGCCUGCGUCCCCCAAGGCCGCUGAUGGAUGGUUCCGGCGAUGUCGCCAGGCUCCGAUCGAUUUCCGGGCCUGCUGGCAGCAUUAGAGCAUCGAGGGGAAAAUGAAGAGAAAAACGGAGCAGAAGCCAAGUGCCUGGCUUUCCGUGCCCCAUCACAUCCUUGAAUUUCUUACCCGCCUGUCGCUCAUCCAUUAUUUCUGCUCAUCC
rnacentral:lncRNA from 1 species